rnacentral:tRNA from 1 species
UGAGGUGUAGCUUAGUGGUAGAGUAUUUGCCUAGCAUGCAAAGACUCUAGGUUCAAUCCCCACUACUAUAA